GGAUGAACGCUGGCGGCGUGCCUAAUACAUGCAAGUCGAGCGAACAGAUGAGGAGCUUGCUCCUUUGAUGUUAGCGGCGGACGGGUGAGUAACACGUGGGUAACCUACCUAUAAGACUGGGAUAACUUCGGGAAACCGGAGCUAAUACCGGAUAAUAUUUCGAACCGCAUGGUUCGAUAGUGAAAGAUGGCUCUGCUAUCACUUAUAGAUGGACCUGCGCCGUAUUAGCUAGUUGGUAAGGUAACGGCUUACCAAGGCAACGAUACGUAGCCGACCUGAGAGGGUGAUCGGCCACACUGGAACUGAGACACGGUCCAGACUCCUACGGGAGGCAGCAGUAGGGAAUCUUCCGCAAUGGGCGAAAGCCUGACGGAGCAACGCCGCGUGAGUGAUGAAGGUCUUCGGAUCGUAAAACUCUGUUAUUAGGGAAGAACAAACGUGUAAGUAACUGUGCACGUCUUGACGGUACCUAAUCAGAAAGCCACGGCUAACUACGUGCCAGCAGCCGCGGUAAUACGUAGGUGGCAAGCGUUAUCCGGAAUUAUUGGGCGUAAAGCGCGCGUAGGCGGUUUUUUAAGUCUGAUGUGAAAGCCCACGGCUCAACCGUGGAGGGUCAUUGGAAACUGGAAAACUUGAGUGCAGAAGAGGAAAGUGGAAUUCCAUGUGUAGCGGUGAAAUGCGCAGAGAUAUGGAGGAACACCAGUGGCGAAGGCGACUUUCUGGUCUGUAACUGACGCUGAUGUGCGAAAGCGUGGGGAUCAAACAGGAUUAGAUACCCUGGUAGUCCACG
rnacentral:rRNA from 1 species